UACGUAGGGUGCGAGCGUUAAUCGGAAUUACUGGGCGUAAAGCGUGCGCAGGCGGUUAUGUAAGACAGAGGUGAAAUUCCCGGGCUUAACCUAGGAACUGCAUUUGUUACUGCAUGACUAGAGUACGGCAGAGGGGGGUGGAAUUCCGCGUGUAGCAGUGAAAUGCGUAGAUAUGCGGAGGAAAACCGAUGGCGAAGGCAAUCCCCUGGGCCUGUACUGACGCUCAUGCUCGAAAGCGUGGGGAGCAAACAGG
rnacentral:rRNA from 1 species